ACACUCGAAUGUUUAAACUCAUUGAUUGAUUUUUCUUACGAAACAUUCAUUAACUUUCGCUGCAGCCUUUUUUGCAGCGACGCAUCGAGGAGCGAAGAUUGACUUACGAGGUCGCUUUUCGCGACGAAGUUCACGGUGUAAAAGUUCCAUGCGAAACGAUUUGAGAACCAUCGCUUUAAAGCCCCACUUAUCGAGCGCCUAGUUGGUAUGAUAAUGUAAUAAAAUAAAUGGAGGUUGCUGUUUCCGAACGAUAUAGAGUCUCGUUUCCUCUCUGUUCCGCCGCUGUUCGAUCUUCCUCGUUUCCAGCCACCCUCCUCGGUCUCUCCUCGUCGCACAUCGCUACUUUCGACUCCUCCGUCUCGUUUCAUUCGAGCGUGUUCGAGUCUCGGCGCUGGUUCCUCACUCCGACCCACUCAGUUUCAUUUUAGCGGAGCGCCCUCCCAGCCUGGCCGGCUACGGAGGGGUUGCCACGGGGAUCGAGAAGGUAGAAGGGAAUGGAGCUCACCUCGAAAGCGAAAUACAACAAGUCCCGCCGCCAUUGCUGGGUCACCCUUCAACGGGAGUUUUGUCGUUGCGUGGGUGGGGGUUUGACAGCCCUGUGCGACGAGUCAUCCCCUUUCGACCCCGACCGCCUGCAUUCACGUGGGGUGGGGGUGAAAAAGAGAGUGACAGAAACAGGGGAAUCCUCUGUUCCGUACCAUUACAAGGGGAACUGAGAAAGAGAUGGAUAUGCUAAAGAGUAAGAGAGAGAGAGAGAGAGAAAGAGAGAGAGAGAGGGGCGGGGGGAAGGAGACAAAUGAGAUCGAGAAAGAAAGAAGAUGGAAGUUUGUGAGAUGGAAAGAAAAGAAUAAAAAAGCGGAAACAUGGUUUGUUAUGUGGUGAAGAAGGAUGGAAAUAGAAAGAGGAUAUUGUCGAAUGACGGAGAGAAAAGAUCGAGGGGAUGAGGCGGAGUAUAUUUAUAGGGAGGAAAGUGAGUCGAAGAAGGAAAAAGAAUGCAGGAUGAAGAGUGAUACACAUAGAGAGAGGGAUCCGAAAGGUGGAAGAAGGGAGAGAGGUCGAAAACUCCGCCCCUGCAUCCGCAAAAGCGAGUCAAUACUAUGACCGUCCAUCCUUUCUCCUCCGAAUACUCUCUCGGUAACCCGCGCGCCGCCUUUCCAACCCCUUUCUCUCUUUGUGCUCGAGCCAUCGGGAUAUCGAAAUUCGUUACGUGCCGUAGCGCGAGGACGCUCGACUUGAAAGUUCCCGGCGUCACGAAGCAAACGCGUGUUUUAGGAAUUGACUCGGAUAUGGAGCGAGCGGAAUUCAAUUCUAAAACGGUUUCAGAUACCUUUAUUCUAACCUGUGGACCAUUUAAGUAGAGAUUAAACUUCGAGGUAAAUUGUAGUGCAGAAACUGAUUUAUCAUUUUGUCAAAUGAAGCUUACUCUAUUUAAUGUAAUAUACAAGCGAUUAAUAUAACGAUUUUACGCCUUUUUUAAAAAAAGGAUAGAAAACCUUCUUAUAAAUACCACGAAUAUAUCGCCUUAUUCAAUUAAGAAAAAUGGACUUGUUAUGUUUUCCUCGUGUGCUCAUCAAAUAAUAAACCUAAUUUUCCAUAA